UACGUAGGGUGCUAACGUUGUUCGGAAUCACUGGGCAUAAAGAGCGCGUAGGCGGUCUGAUAAGUCAGGUGUGAAAUCCCCCGGCUCAACCGGGGAACUGCACCUGAUACUGUUGGGCUUGAGUGCAGGAGGGGAGAGCGGAAUUCCUGGUGGAGCGGUGAAAUGCGUAGAUAUCAGGAGGAACGCCGGCGGCGAAAGCGGCUCUCUGGCCUGUUACUGACGCUGAGGUGCGAAAGCGUGGGGAUCAAACAGG
rnacentral:rRNA from 1 species